AUGGUGAGACUGCUUUUCAAUACUCAUAUGGAAACUUCAUUAGACUUAUUCACCAAUAUGUGGGUUAUUAUGUUUGACAAAUUAGGUCCUCUCUCAAGUUCCACUUCCAAGGCAAUAGCAUCAGGCACCCCAAUUUUAUUGAAUGCAACAGUUGUUUCUAUGACCAUUGGAGUCUUUGAAGCGCAGCCGCAUUUUAGGACGAUACUUCUCCAAAUACAAAAGUUGCUUGCUGUUAAAAGCUCCACGCCGCUUUCUGGAAGGAAAAAAAAUUAAAUGUUAAAAAAAAAACAGAAAAUUUAUUUUCCAAACACUUUGGCUUGACUACUAGAAAGACAUUUUGAAGCCAUAGUUUCUAGAAUAAAGAAUGCCUAUUUCCAAAUUUAAAUUGGAAUGAGCAACAUAAGGAAGGCAAAAUAGGCAAUUAAAGAAGAUUUACGGAAGAAUGAUGGGAAGGCAUUUAUGGUGGAUUAAAGAGGUGGCAAAUUCUUUUACACCUCUCAUGGAAAGCUGAGGUUUAAUUUCCUUUCUGUUCAAUCUAAACUGGUCUUAGUGAUUUCCUUGAGCAGUAAAAUAUAGUGUCAGUGACACUGGGUAACUUCCAAGACUAGGUUAGAAGAAGCGUUUCUGAAGCUUCUUCCUUAAUAUCUCAGAAGACUUGCCUUCUUAAGACACUGUCUUUUGGAACCCAGAAACUAUGAGGCAUUCUUAAAUGGAGCAAAUUGACCAAAAUUAAAAAGUUUAAAAAAGGCUCCACUUAACAGUGCCAGUUGAGGUCCCAGCUUGAAGCAGACUAGUAAGAUACGGAAUCAAUAAAUGGAUCUGGAACCUGGCAAGAAGUCCACAUGGACAUCAAUAACCCCAAGGUGGCUGCUGGAAGACCCUCCCCAAGAUUCUGCCACUCAGAGAAGACUACCUCUGGAAGCCAGGAGAAGCCCUGGAUAUUCCCCAAGGACUUUAUCAUUGGGCACUCCUGGCAAAUUGAUGGGAGAAAUAAGCAAUCAAAAUGGUAAAGGACUGGAACUCCUCCCCUGCCAUUAGCAAAGGGGUGGGAUAGUUAACAGGUCAAAAAGGCAGGCACAGGGCAUAAGCUCUCGCUCUCGUGCUCUCUCUCACCUGCGGACCCCUGUGCCUGCCCUCUGUGCACUGCUGUCACCGUUUAUCCUCUACCAUGUGUCCACACAAGUAAACCUGGGGAUUUAUAACCUAUAAUGGGGAAUUGUAGUCUGUAAAUCAGCCCUCUUUAUCACUUUUCAGCCCCUUCCUCUCUACCUGGGACCCCUCAUCUGUUAUCUUCUCCCAUUUCUUAUCCUUUCCUGCCUGAAUAAAUUAUUGGCCUAACUCACCUAAUGUGCUCUUGAAAUUCAUUUCUGUAGCAUUAUCAAGAACCUAAUCAAAAUCCAGUAACGAGAUGAAAGCUAGGACCUACUGCUGACUAUCUUGGAUAUCUAGCCCAGGUGAGCCUUCAGAUAACUGCAGCCCCAGCCCUUAUCUGACAGCAACUGUAUAAGGGACUCAAGAGCUCCUUCCUGAAUUACUAUCACCUCAAACUGUAAGCAAAAUACAAUGACAAUUUUAAGCUGGUUAAUUUGUUAUGUUGUAAUAGUUAACUGGAACAGACAGCCCUGGUUUUGUCAGACUGCUCUAACAAUUUCUGUCACAUCAGGCAUUGUAUAACAAGAUUGUUCAGUUUGUAAGGAUAGGAGACUGAAGCCUGAAAAUUUACCACAAAUGAAUCAUAUAAUUGUAAGUCUCUCUAUGACACCAAGGUGAACUUAUGAUUUGGUUGCAUAGUGAAGAAUCCCCUUAUCCUGUAUCUCUUAGCUCUUAUAUAUAACAGGUAAACAUCUCUUCUUUUCUCUUGAUCAGAAUGACAUGACAUUAGACUGAAGAGGUCAGUUCUCUAUCUGUUUGAACUUUGCUCUCAGGCCCUCUGCCCAUUUCCUCUUCCUGGGAAGGGCUUGCCUCAAACAAGGAAGUGAUGUCCCUUGGACUUUUGUGGGAUAAAUCCAAUGUUGCACAUACAGAUUGAAAUAAAUGUAAUGUGGAUGACCCAGACCACAGUCUGGAAGACAGCAAAGACUUGUCUUUCAGCCCAUUGGCCAAGUGUUCUCUAACUUGUUAGUUAGAGAUGAGGAUCUAAAAUUUGAUAUCAAAUCUGUUGAAAUCUACUUGCCCCAGAGUAUUAUGUGUGUAUGCGGUAUGGAGUGGGGAUAAGAGGCAAGGGGGUACAUCUGAGAUAUUGGUAAAGGAUUGAACUUAAGCCUGGGCUGGAGUUGGGAGUAGGUCAGUUAGAAUCCUUGUAAUGGAAGCAGCCUCCUGAGGCUUUUCCUGAAUUGAGACCUUAGAGCAUGUCAGACUACUUCCUUUCCUGGAGUACAAUCGAUUGGUACAC
ensembl:lincRNA